AUGAACGCUGGCGGCGUGCCUAAUACAUGCAAGUCGAACGAAUCUCUUUUAGAGAUGAGUGGCGAACGGGUGAGUAAUACAUAGGUAACCUGCCCCUGUGCGGGGGAUAACAGGAGGAAACUCCUGCUAAUACCGCAUAGCCAUGAGCACCGCAUGGAGCUCAUGCCAAAUAUCCUUUAUGGGAUAGCGCAGGGAUGGACCUAUGGCGCAUUAGCUGGUUGGCGGGGCAACGGCCCACCAAGGCAACGAUGCGUAGCCGGCCUGAGAGGGCGGACGGCCACAUUGGGACUGUGACACGGCCCAGACUCCUACGGGAGGCAGCAGUAGGGAAUUUUCGGCAAUGGGGGAAACCCUGACCGAGCAACGCCGCGUGAGCGAAGAAGGCCUUCGGGUCGUAAAGCUCUGUUGUAAAGGAAGAACGGCGCAUACAGGAAAUGGUAUGCGAGUGACGGUACUUUACCAGAAAGCCACGGCUAACUACGUGCCAGCAGCCGCGGUAAUACGUAGGUGGCGAGCGUUAUCCGGAAUCAUUGGGCGUAAAGAGGGAGCAGGCGGCCGCAAGGGUCUGUGGUGAAAGCCCGAAGCUAAACUUCGGUAAGCCAUGGAAACCGGGCGGCUAGAGUGCGGAAGAGGAUCGUGGAAUUCCAUGUGUAGCGGUGAAAUGCGUAGAUAUAUGGAGGAACACCAGUGGCGAAGGCGACGGUCUGGGCCGCAACUGACGCUCAUUCCCGAAAGCGUGGGGAGCAAAUAGGAUUAGAUACCCUAGUAGUCCACGCCGUAAACGAUGGUCACUAAGUGUCGGGGGUCAAACCCCGGUGCUGCAGUCAACGCAAUAAGUGACCCGCCUGGGGAGUACGACCGCAAGGUUGAAACUCAAAGGAAUUGACG
rnacentral:rRNA from 1 species